AAGAUAUUAGUAAAAUCAGUCAAUUACACUGCCUUGUCAAGGCAAAAUUGUGGGUUUAAAUCCCGCAUGUCUCG
rnacentral:tRNA from 1 species